rnacentral:rRNA from 1 species
AUGGGUUCUCAGGCGGAAGCAGGGGGAUCGAGGCAGUGCUCUGAACCUAUCGAGGAUUUGCUGGGGCGGCUUGAACUCCAGGAGGAUGAGGAGGAUCAGUUUGUUUGGGAAGAAGAAUUCCAGGAAGAACAGGUUGCAGCUAAGGGGUUGGCGAUUCCUAAGGUACAUAUAGCGAAGGGAUUUAGUCCGUUUGCCCUGUAUGCUGACAUGAGAUCGGCAUGGAACCCGACGAAAGAGCCACGGUGGCACAAUAUUGAGGACAACCUGUUCACGGUCCAAUUCGGGUGCUUAGGAGAUUGGAACACUGCUAUGAAUAUGGGUCCUUGGUUAUUUCGAGAUCAAGGCCUACUGAUCGAAGAAUAUGAUGGGUUUCAGAACCUAAGAUAUGUUGUUCUAAAUAAGAUAAUAGUUUGGGCAAGAAUUCUGAAACUACCAGAUAACUAUCUAAUUCCAGCGGUCAUCAAAGGGAUGUGUAGGAAGAUGGGCAAGGUGACUGAGAUACAAACUACACUGUCGGUUGGUUUUGCAAGAGAAUUUGUUAGAGUUAGAGUGGAGUUGAAUGUGAUGAAGAAACUGAUCAGAUUCGUGGGUAUCACGCGGAAUGAGGUCACUGAUUACUAUCAAGUGCAAUAUGAGAAACUCCCUAUUGGACGACCUCUAUUGGUAAAUACUGAAUAUUAUAAUUUUACUGCAGCGCAUCCGAAGAGAUUUGAAGCAAGGUGGUUAAGAGAGGAAAAUUUUAAUAAUAUCGUCAUGGAGGCAUGGAAUGCAGCUGGAGUAGACGGAGGCUUGAACUCCAUAUCAUAG